GAGAAAAAAGCUGUCUUUAUUUAAUUUUUUGUAGAAUUUUAUUUUUAAGUUAAAAAGCUUAAAUAUUAUUGAAAGACGAGAAGACCCUAUAGAGUUUUAUAAUGUAAUAAUUUAUAAAUUUUAAUUAUUUAAGUUUUAUUUAAUUGUUCAAUUAUUUAGUUGGGGUGACUAUAAAAUUUAAUUAACUUUUUAAUUUAUAAACAUAAAUUUAUGAAUAGUUGAUCCAUUAAGUUGUGAUUAAAAGAUUAAAUUACCUUAGGGAUAACAGCGUAAUUUUUUUGGAGAGUUCUAAUUGAUAAAAAAGUUUGCGACCUCGAUGUUGGAUUAAAAUUAACUAUUGGCGCAGAAGUUGAUGGGUUAGGUCUGUUCGACCUUUAAAAUUUUACAUGAUCUGAGUUUAAACCGGUGUGAGCCAGGUUGGUUUCUAUCUUUAAUUAGUUAAUAUAUUUUAGUACGAAAGGACCAAAUAUAUGUAUAAAAUAAUUUUAUAAUUGAAUUAAAUUAAUAGUUGUUACUUUGGCAGAUUAGUGCAUUAAAUUUAGAAUUUAAUUAUGUAUGUUAAAUACAUGUAAUACUUGUUAUUUAUGGAUUAUUUAUUAAUAAUUGUUAGAAGUUUAAUUUUGGUUAUUUGUGUAC
rnacentral:rRNA from 1 species